rnacentral:lncRNA from 1 species
UAUUAUAAAAACUGGUUGUUCAUUUUUGUACUGGUAUAUUCUAUCAAUUUGCAGGGAUAUAGACACACAGUAGAUUGGUUAAGUUAGUUUUUAUUAAGCUGCCUUAUCAUAUAUAGGAUGUAUUGUACUGUAUCUUGCAAUGGCCACUUUUAGUCCAUCACAGUCCAUCCAUGCAAUAGUCCAUCACAGUUUAGCCAACACUAAUGAUGAAGUCAGCCAAAGGAUUGAAGGAAGGGAUUCAGUGCUGGGCCCAAUCCCUUCUCAAAAAUCUGGAGAUGUGAAAUUUGGAUUUGACCAGUUAGAAAAUACUUAUAAUGUAAAUAUUACUGCUCUAUUCUGUACUAUAGCAAAUUAAAUUUGCUAUAAUAUCAAAUAGAGCAGAAAUAACAAAAUAGUAAUAAACGAUAAGAGAGUGGAAGAACUCCCUAAGUCUUGGGAAUAUUUGCUUAGGCAUUA